UUCAGGCCUAACACAUGCAAGUCGAACGGGAAAGCACUUUUCGGAGUGCGAGUAGAGUGGCGAACGGGUGAGUAACGCGUGGGUGAUCUACCCUUUGGUGGGGGAUAACCCGAGGAAACUCGGGCUAAUACCGCAUGAGCCUGAAGUUGUAAGGGACUUUAGGGAAAGCUUUUGGGUGCCGAAGGAGGAGUCCGCGUCCGAUUAGCUAGUUGGUGAGGUAAGGGCUCACCAAGGCGACGAUCGGUAGCCGGUCUGAGAGGACGGACGGUCACACUGGGACUGAGACACGGCCCAGACUCCUACGGGAGGCAGCAGUGGGGAAUUUUGGGCAAUGGGCGCAAGCCUGACCCAGCAACGCCGCGUGGAGGACGAAGGUUUUCGGAUCGUAAACUCCUGUCUAGAGGGACGAAGCAAGUGACGGUACCUCUGGAGGAAGCCCCGGCUAACUCCGUGCCAGCAGCCGCGGUAAUACGGGGGGGGCGAGCGUUGUUCGGAAUUACUGGGCGUAAAGGGCGCGUAGGCGGUUUCGGAAGUCAUGGGUGAAAGUCCUCGGCUCAACCGAGGGAUUGUCUGUGAAACCACGGGACUGGAGUGCUGGAGAGGGAAGUGGAAUUCCCAGUGUAGCGGUGAAAUGCGUAGAUAUUGGGAGGAACAUCUGUGGCGAAGGCGGCUUCCUGGACAGACACUGACGCUGAGGCGCGAAAGCCAGGGGAGCGAACGGGAUUAGAUACCCCGGUAGUCCUGGCUGUAAACGAUGAACACUUGGUGUAGGGGGUGGAUGAAAGUCCUUCUGUGCCGUAGAGAACUCGAUAAGUGUUCCGCCUGGGGGAGUACGGCCGCAAGGCUGAAACUCAAAGGAAUUGACGGGGGCCCGCACAAGCGGUGGAACCAUGUUGGUUUAAUUCGACGCAACGCGAAGAACCUUACCGGGGGUUUGAACUGUACGUGAACGACCUAGAGAAUGGGGGAGGAUCCUUUCGGGGACAGGUACAGAGGUGCUGCAUGGCUGUCGUCAG
rnacentral:rRNA from 1 species